AUGGCUUGGCUGCGGCUGCUCGCCACCAUCCUAGCGCUGCUCGCCACUGCCGGGGUCGCGCACAGCUUCGAGUUCCAUGAGGCCACCGUGGACGCCAUCCAGCUCGGCUUCCGCAACGGCAGCCUCACCUCGGCCGCCCUCGUCCGGUUCUACCUCGACCAGAUCCGCCGCCUCAACCCGCUGCUGCACGCCGUCAUCGAGGUCAACCCGGACGCGCUCCGGCAGGCCAAGCGUGCCGACGCCGAGCGCCGUCGCGGCACAGCCACCGGCCCGUUGCAUGGGGUGCCCGUCCUGCUCAAGGACAACAUCGCCACCCGCGAUGCUCUCAACACCACGGCCGGCUCGCUGGCGCUCCUCGGCUCCGUGGUGAAGCGCGACGCCGGCGUGGCGGCCAGGCUGCGGCGCGCUGGCGCCGUGGUGCUCGGCAAGGCCAGCCUCUCCGAGUGGGCCAACUUCCGCAACGUCCGCAAUGGGUGGAGUGCGCGCGGCGGGCAGACG
rnacentral:rRNA from 1 species